UAUAUGCUUAUAUAUAUGUAUAAUAUAAAAGACAUUUUGUGUUAAUAUUUUUAACUUAGUUUUAAUAAGUCAACGAAAAUUCAAGCAUGCUAUUAAUAUAGCGUUUCAAUGUAUUUAUUUGCUCGAACAUACUAUCGAACAACGCUUAUGCUUCUUUAAACGGGUUUUCGUUUUGAAAAUUUUUCGGCAAUGGUUACACUGGAAGCCCUCCUUGCUUGACGGAUAUGAAAGGUGAUUUUGUUUUUUAUCUGAUUUAUUAGUUUGUUCAAUCUGAUCCUCAAAGUACUUUGAAUUCUGAUUUUUGGUUUUUGGAAGUGACCUUGGUGUUAUACUAAUUGCAGGCAGCGCUUUGGAGAGGAUUUGAUGACUUCCACCAGAUAUGCUUAAAUCUUUAACAUCUGUUGAUUCAUUACAUUGUUUCCAUAAGGACUGUUCUGCUGAGCUGGGCUGCUUCAAAACCUUCUUUUCAACAGAAUCAACUUCUAUGUGUUUAUCUGUACCCUGUUUACUCAAAUGAUUGUUAUUAGCUGGUCGCAUUAAAGGCUAUGGCACCCUUUGUAAAUAUCAAUAUCCUUUGACAUGUCUGUAAGGAUGCCACUAAAUACUAUUCAACUACUAAAUUGAGGAUUGGUGCCAGAUGUAAUUUAUGAAUUCAAAUAUCAACUAAAUGUAAUCAAAGUGAUUAUAUUUAACGAAAUCCCAUUUUCUGUUUGUUUUAACACAAAAUAAAGUACUCAAAAUUAUGGUUUAA